GGAUUAGAUACCCUGGUAGUCCACGCCGUAAACGAUGUGUACUUGAUGUAGAUUGGCUCAACCCGGUCUGUAUCGUAGCUAACGCGAUAAGUACACCGCCUGGGAAGUACGCCCGCAAGGGUUAAACCCAAAGGAAUUGACGGGGGCUCGCACAAGCAGUGGAGCAUGUGGUUUAAUUCGAUGAUACGCGAAGAACCUUACCUAGACUUGACAUGCAGUGGACCGGUGCAGAAAUGCACUUUCCCGAAAGGGCCGCUGUGCAGGUGCUGCAUGGCUGUCGUCAGCUCGUGCCG
rnacentral:rRNA from 1 species